rnacentral:rRNA from 1 species
AGAUUGAACGCUGGCGGCAUGCUUUACACAUGCAAGUCGAACGGUAACAGGCCGCAAGGUGCUGACGAGUGGCGAACGGGUGAGUAAUGCAUCGGAACGUGCCCAGUCGUGGGGGAUAACGCAGCGAAAGCUGUGCUAAUACCGCAUACGAUCUAUGGAUGAAAGCGGGGGACCGAAAGGCCUCGCGCGAUUGGAGCGGCCGAUGUCAGAUUAGCUAGUUGGUGGGGUCAAGGCCCACCAAGGCGACGAUCUGUAGCUGGUCUGAGAGGACGACCAGCCACACUGGAACUGAGACACGGUCCAGACUCCUACGGGAGGCAGCAGUGGGGAAUUUUGGACAAUGGGCGCAAGCCUGAUCCAGCAAUGCCGCGUGCAGGAAGAAGGCCUUGGUUGUAAACUGUCUUUGUACGGAACGAACGGUCUGGUUAAUACCGUCGGCUAAGUGACGUACCGUAAGAAGUAAGCACCGCUAACUACGU